rnacentral:rRNA from 1 species
UACGUAGGGCGCAAGCGUUGUCCGGAAUUAUUGGGCGUAAAGAGCUCGUAGGCGGUCUGUUACGUCCGCUGUGAAAACCCAGGGCUUAACCCUGGGCUUGCAGUGGAUACGGGUAGACUAGAGGCAGGUAGGGGAGAAUGGAAUUCCCGGUGUAGCGGUGAAAUGCGCAGAUAUCAGGAGGAACACCGGUGGCGAAGGCGGGUCUCUGGGCAGUAACUGACGCUGAGGAGCGAAAGCGUGGGGAGCGAACAGG